AACUUUUCCCGAAAUCUCAUCCAAAAAAACCUCAUCAACAACAGUCUCAGAACUCUCAGGGGAAUCUCCAUUUCUAUAUAUUUCAUCUUCUUUAGUGCGAGAAGUCCCGGGUUGAUCAAUGAAGCUGCCAAAACAAUUCCCGGAUAUGAACUCAUGGUUAUUAGAACUCCCAAAUGGAAUUGCUUCUAAAUCAAAUAAUUUUUCUUUUUCUUUAUUGCAUCUAAUAAAUUCUUCAAACGUCGGGAACUUAAAUUUCAAAAAGAAUUCAGGUUUCUUUUCCUCAACAUAAUUCUCAACACCUCUAAAUUCAGAAACUUUUUUCUCUGCUUCAUGAGAUAUUGUUACCCUCUGAUUCCUUUCUUCAGAAAAUAAAACUGAAAGCAAAAACUAAAAAUUGAAAAUAAAACAUCCAACUGAAAAUUGAAAAUAAAACUGAAAGCGAAAAGCCGAAAACUGAAAAUAAAGACACCGUGAAAGAACUCACCUAAAAUUCGAAAUCUGGAAGGCAGCAAACGAAAUCGGACGGUAUGAGAACUCCGGGUCAGCGAUUGUAUGGAUUUUCUGGGACGGUAUGAAAUGUUGAGACUAGAGCUGAAGGGAACGGCCGGCACAGAGAGUUAG
rnacentral:lncRNA from 1 species